GGAGGAAAAAUAGUGUGAUUCUAUUUCUAUGCACCUUCUCAUAAACCGUAAACAUCACUCUGUCAUCUUUGUUUGUUUGCCUACCUAAUCCCUUCUUUCUUCUGUAUAGUUGGUAUGCACUUAACUCAUUCAUUGCUAUAAAGCUGAUCCCACAGUAAGCCACGUCAUCAAAAUUAAGUAGGCCGUUGGAUUUUGAUCUGAACGAUCAGUAUUCCCUAGCUGGCUGGCUCACAAAACUGGCGGCUAUAUCUUCCUCUCGCAGGAUCUGUUUCUUCCAUCCCUAGGUAAUGGCGUAAUGUUACUCUAGCGGCUGCUUCCUUCCUUUCUUCAGAGUAUGGUUUGCUAGAGCAAUCACAGCAUUUUCUCUACAGGAUGAAGCUGGUAUCCUGGUAGUCAACUAGAUUGUGCCAAAAUAGCCAAACAAGGCAGAUCGAUCGGAUGGAUGCAUGUACAUGACCAUAUUAUCUACAAAUUUAUCCUAAUUAGUCGUUGAUUAAGAGAAGAUUCAGACCAACCGUAAGUUUCUUGACAGGAAGCGAAUGCGCUAAAUAGGAAUUCAAAGAUCAGUAUUUCCUUUUUAAAAUAACCUUCAGUUCCAACUAUUUAUUUCGUGUGCUGAUGUUUGAUCUGUAUGCAUAAAGAUAAAAUCUUUGUUGACUUUUAAUAAAACUUAUGGUUAGCUCUUUUAUGUAGUGCACACAUCUUUUCAAAGUUAUUUGUCUACACAACUAUCCCGCAGCAAAGCGCGGGGUGUCCACUAGUUAAUUUGAGAGUGGC